GUUCAGGAUGAACGCUAGCUACAGGCUUAACACAUGCAAGUCGAGGGGCAUCAGGAAGAAAGCUUGCUUUCUUUGCUGGCGACCGGCGCACGGGUGAGUAACACGUAUCCAACCUGCCCUUUACUCGGGGAUAGCCUUUCGAAAGAAAGAUUAAUACCCGAUAGCAUAAUGAUUCCGCAUGGUUUCAUUAUUAAAGGAUUCCGGUAAAGGAUGGGGGUGCGUUCCAUUAGGUUGUUGGUGAGGUAACGGCCCACCAAGCCUUCGAUGGAUAGGGGUUCUGAGAGGAAGGUCCCCCACAUUGGAACUGAGACACGGUCCAAACUCCUACGGGAGGCAGCAGUGAGGAAUAUUGGUCAAUGGGCGCUAGCCUGAACCAGCCAAGUAGCGUGAAGGAUGAAGGCUCUAUGGGUCGUAAACUUCUUUUAUAUAAGAAUAAAGUGCAGUAUGUAUACUGUUUUGUAUGUAUUAUAUGAAUAAGGAUCGGCUAACUCCGUGCCAGCAGCCGCGGUAAUACGGAGGAUCCGAGCGUUAUCCGGAUUUAUUGGGUUUAAAGGGAGCGUAGGUGGACUGGUAAGUCAGUUGUGAAAGUUUGCGGCUCAACCGUAAAAUUGCAGUUGAUACUGUCAGUCUUGAGUACAGUAGAGGUGGGCGGAAUUCGUGGUGUAGCGGUGAAAUGCUUAGAUAUCACGAAGAACUCCGAUUGCGAAGGCAGCUCACUGGACUGCAACUGACACUGAUGCUCGAAAGUGUGGGUAUCAAACAGGAUUAGAUACCCUGGUAGUCCACACAGUAAACGAUGAAUACUCGCUGUUUGCGAUAUACAGUAAGCGGCCAAGCGAAAGCAUUAAGUAUUCCACCUGGGGAGUACGCCGGCAACGGUGAAACUCAAAGGAAUUGACGGGGGCCCGCACAAGCGGAGGAACAUGUGGUUUAAUUCGAUGAUACGCGAGGAACCUUACCCGGGCUUAAAUUGCAGUGGAAUGAUGUGGAAACAUGUCAGUGAGCAAUCACCGCUGUGAAGGUGCUGCAUGGUUGUCGUCAGCUCGUGCCGUGAGGUGUCGGCUUAAGUGCCAUAACGAGCGCAACCCUUAUCUUUAGUUACUAACAGGUUAUGCUGAGGACUCUAGAGAGACUGCCGUCGUAAGAUGUGAGGAAGGUGGGGAUGACGUCAAAUCAGCACGGCCCUUACGUCCGGGGCUACACACGUGUUACAAUGGGGGGUACAGAAGGCAGCUAGCGGGUGACCGUAUGCUAAUCCCAAAAUCCUCUCUCAGUUCGGAUCGAAGUCUGCAACCCGACUUCGUGAAGCUGGAUUCGCUAGUAAUCGCGCAUCAGCCACGGCGCGGUGAAUACGUUCCCGGGCCUUGUACACACCGCCCGUCAAGCCAUGGGAGCCGGGGGUACCUGAAGUACGUAACCGCAAGGAUCGUCCUAGGGUAAAA
rnacentral:rRNA from 1 species